rnacentral:rRNA from 1 species
CCGGUGGUACAGGAUGGACCCGCGUCUGAUUAGCUGGUUGGUGAGGUAACGGCUCACCAAGGCGACGAUCAGUAGCCGGCUUGAGAGAGUGAACGGCCACAUUGGGACUGAGACACGGCCCAAACUCCUACGGGAGGCAGCAGUGGGGAAUAUUGCACAAUGGGGGAAACCCUGAUGCAGCGACGCCGCGUGAGUGAAGAAGUAUCUCGGUAUGUAAAGCUCUAUCAGCAGGGAAGAAAAUGACGGUACCUGACUAAGAAGCCCCGGCUAACUACGUGCCAGCAGCCGCGGUAAUACGUAGGGGGCAAGCGUUAUCCGGAAUUACUGGGUGUAAUAGGGUGCGUAGGUGGUAUGGCAAGUCAGAAGUGAAAACCCAGGGCUUAACUCUGGGACUGCUUUUGAAACUGUCAGACUGGAGUGCAGGAGAGGUAAGCGGAAUUCCUAGUGUAGCGGUGAAAUGCGUAGAUAUUAGGAGGAACAUCAGUGGCGAAGGCGGCUUACUGGA